rnacentral:rRNA from 1 species
UACGAAGGGGGCUAGCGUUGCUCGGAAUCACUGGGCGUAAAGGGUGCGUAGGCGGGUCUUAAGUCAGGGGUGAAAUCCUGGAGCUCAACUCCAGAACUGCCUCGAUACUGGAAAGCUCGAGUCCGGGAGAGGUGAGUGGAACUGCGAGUGUAGAGGUGAAAUUCGUAGAUAUUCGCAAGAACACCAGUGGCGAAGGCGGCUCACUGGCCCGAUACUGACGCUGAGGUGCGAAAGCGGUGGGGAGCAAACAGGG